GACGAACGCUGGCGGCGUGCCUAAUACAUGCAAGUUGAGCGCUGAAGGUUGGUACUUGUACCAACUGGAUGAGCAGCGAACGGGUGAGUAACGCGUGGGGAAUCUGCCUUUGAGCGGGGGACAACAUUUGGAAACGAAUGCUAAUACCGCAUAAAAACUUUAAACACAAGUUUUAAGUUUGAAAGAUGCAAUUGCAUCACUCAAAGAUGAUCCCGCGUUGUAUUAGCUAGUUGGUGAGGUAAAGGCUCACCAAGGCGAUGAUACAUAGCCGACCUGAGAGGGUGGUCAGCCACAUUGGGACUGAGACACGGCCCAAACUCAUACGGGAGGCAGCAGUAGGGAAUCUUCGGCAAUGGACGAAAGUCUGACCGAGCAACGCCGCGUGAGUGAAGAAGGUUUUCGGAUCGUAAAACUCUGUUGGUAGAGAAGAACGUUGGUGAGAGUGGAAAGCUCAUCAAGUGACGGUAACUACCCAGAAAGGGACGGCUAACUACGUG
rnacentral:rRNA from 1 species